rfam:Citreicella sp. 357 C357_168, whole genome shotgun sequence.
GUCGGAAUUGCGCGGGUUGUAAUCGACGAACGCAUAGCCGCGCGACUGGUCGAUGGUGUGGAACAGCGGGUUCCAGUCGAACAUCACCAGCAUGUAGCUGGGCAGGGUGUUGGCCACGAACAUCUUGCCCGACGCGAUCAUGUUCGCCCGCUG